rfam:Fukomys damarensis contig88290, whole genome shotgun sequence.
UACUAAAAUUGGAACAAUAGUAAAACUGGAAUGACACAGAGAUUAGAUGGCCCCUGCACAAGGACAACAUGCAAAGUCAUGAAGCGUUCCAUACUUUU